GGAGCAGGGAAGGUGUUGGAAUACUUCAGGUCAUCAGCAGUGUUGCUGAAAAGUUUUGCCAGGAAACCCAGAUCAGCCACCAAGAAUCUGAGAGCCAGCACAUGGGAAGAAGAAAAAUAAGGCCCUCUUCACCUGCCAAGUGGGCAACAGCAGUUACUCUCAUUGGAGACCCUUUCCCUUCGCCACUUCCCAGGCUCCUCCAGACUGAAUGCAUUCAGGGAGUCACCUCCCAGGUCAAAACCUGCUGUGAUACCAUCAAACUGCAGCACAGACCACAGACCACAGUCCCAAGCCUCCCAUUCUUGACUCUAACACCAGCCUAGCCUGACCUGCUGCAGAGUGUGGCCUGUGACCACAUCUGCGCUCUGUCCACACCGCUUCAUCCAGCCUCCCAUGCUGAUCCCCAGAGCAGCUCCCUGGGAUGCCCUCUUCUCAUCACUGCAUCUGCUGCCCACCCAGGGCCCUCUGACCUUACCCUCCUGCAGGCCCCUCCCAUCUGAGGUGCUCUGGAACGCCUGUGGUGUGAGUGUGCGUGAACUUUGACGUGCCUGCGUCCAUGCUCAAGAGCGGUCUUGCCUGAACCACCUUGUCUCUAAUAAUCAGCAUGAAACUCCUCAGAAGAAACAGAGGGGCCCCUCAGAACAUCACGGAAAAGACGAUGGCUCCAAAACAGCUAGAUUCUAAUCCCACCCCUGCUGCAGGGCGUGGCCCUCAGGCACAUCUGUGCUCCGUGCAUGUGAUGUGACCUCGCAAAAGCAUCCAUUUCCUCAUCUGGAAAACAGGACAAUUCCUGGACUCUGCACACCUGGAAGUGACCAUGAGGGUCAAAUGAAUGCUUUUCGAACUGCAAACGCUGUUCAGAUGCUGGCGCCGUGACCAAAGACCUGGCUUACAUCUGCUCUGUUUUCACAGGACACAGCCCUGGGUAUACAGUAGGUGCUUAAUGCAGGUGACCAUGAGGAAGGGCUGUAGCCCGUGGAGGGCAGGCGGGUGAGAUUCAGCUGGGGUCCUCAAAGGCUGCACCAUGGGAAAAGCUGACAGGCCCUCCUGCUGGGGCCCAGGCUGGGAGCCAGAGCCCCUCCUUUGGCCACUCUGCAGUGGAAGAACAAGGAGAACACAGGAGGAGUGGCCCAGGCUCUCCAUCUAAGGACAUUCGAAGGGGACAAAAGGCCGUAGAAGCACUGGCAGAGCCUGAACGUGGCACCGUAGCCUCCUGCCAGCUGGAGAUGUGCCUGGGCAGUGUGUCUUGGCAUGGAAUCCACAGCCAGCCAGCCUGGGGAGGGGAUGGGGCCAGGACCCCUGGCUGUACAGACGGAGAGCCAGAGGUGGUUGCAGGUUUCUAACCGAUAGUGGAGCUGAAGAGUGGCCCGGCUUUCAUUUGUUGACAGGAGACGCAUGUCUGAGGCCAGAGCCAACUUCUUCCAGGGAACGGCUGAGAACCCCCGGGGGUGGCUUCCUUCCUCCUCAAAGGACACAUGGGACGCAGAUGUACAGGAGGCUGUUUAGAGAGGGCUCAAGUGGUGAGCUGUGCAGGGGUCCUCACGCCCCAGCCCAGUCUUGGAAUGGGGCUGGAGACUUAGGAAGUGAGUGCUGGGGUCCUGUGGUUCCUGCCUUCGGGAAGAUCUGAAGGAGCUUCCUGCAGGCCUUUCUUCGCAGCAUUCAUCCCAAACCCCGAAGCCUCCUUCCCCUGGUUCCAUGGUAGGAGCGGUUGCAUUCCCCUGUCUGAGAGGGCCACCUCCUUCCCACCUACUCAGGCUGGCAGGGCUCAGGCUGAGGUCCAGACCCUCAUGCCAGCUUGGUGCUUGGCCAGAGCUGCAAAAUCGCAGCUGGGCUGCCUGCAGGAGGGCACCGCUGAGGCCUUCUAGGCCCAGACAGGCCGAGAGAGUCCCCACCCUCCACCCCAG
ensembl:lncRNA